rnacentral:rRNA from 1 species
GACAGAGGGUGCAAACGUUGUUCGGAAUUACUGGGCGUAAAGCGCGUGUAGGUGGCAAGGCAAGUCGGGUGUGAAAGCCCUGGGCUCAACCCAGGAAGUGCACUCGAUACUGCCUCGCUAGAGUCCCGGAGAGGUUGGUGGAACUCUCGGUGUAGAGGUGAAAUUCGUAGAUAUCGAGAAGAACACCGGUGGCGAAGGCGGCCAACUGGACGGUGACUGACACUGAGACGCGAAAGCGUGGGGAGCAACAGG